AACGGCACUGAAGAACGGCAGACACUUACUGAACCCCGCCAGGGCCGAGAGGCAGCAACGGUAGGUGAGUUCCUCUGGGUGUUUGGAGGUGCCAUUCCU
rnacentral:SRP_RNA from 1 species